AAUUGUUCUCAGGGCGGGGCGAAAUUCCCCACCGGCGGUAUAUCAGAAAUGAUGAGCCCGCGAGCGCUAAACCAUGUUUAGGGUCAGCAGAUUUGGUGAGAUGCCAAAGCCGACGGUUAUAGUCCGGAUGAAAGAGGAUGAUC
rnacentral:ncRNA from 1 species